rnacentral:tRNA from 1 species
CGGGUCAUGGCGUAGUCUGGUAGCGCACUUGCAUGGGGUGCAAGGGGCCGUGAGUUCGAAUCUCACUGACCCGACCA